GGGGAAUAUUGCGCAAUGGGGGAAACCCUGACGCAGCGACGCCGCGUGGGUGAUGAAGGCCUUCGGGUCGUAAAGCCCUGUCGUAGGGGAAGAACCGGUGCACAGCUAAUAUCUGUGCGCCCUGACGGUACCCUACAAGAAAGCACCGGCUAACUCCGUGCCAGCAGCCGCGGUAAUACGGAGGGUGCAAGCGUUGUUCGGAAUCACUGGGCGUAAAGGGCGCGCAGGCGGCGCUGGAAGUCCUGGGUGAAAGCCCCCGGCUCAACUGGGGGAGGGCCUGGGAAACCACAGUGCUGGAGUGCUGGAGGGGGAAGCGGAAUUCCCGGUGUAGCGGUGAAAUGCGUAGAUAUCGGGAGGAACAUCCGAGGCGAAGGCGGCUUCCUGGACAGACACUGACGCUGAGGCGCGAAAGCUAGGGGAGCAA
rnacentral:rRNA from 1 species